rnacentral:misc_RNA from 1 species
GUGAAUCAUCGAAUUUUUGAACGCAAAUUGCGCCUUUUUCGGAAGGCAUGUCUGUUUGAGGGCACCAUUUAACAAAUAAUGUGCAGCGUUUUUUGUUGCACACGUUGAUGAGCUUUCCAAGAAUUUUAAAUUUUUGGUGGCGUUAAAUGAACAGGGUGAAAGUUUUUUUAAGUUGGAGUGUAGUAAAAUUUUUUCUUGGGUUGUAAAAAAUCAUAUUCGCCUACUGGGUCGGGCAAUUUCCUUUUUAUCCUUGAC